GACGAACGCUGGCGGCGUGCUUAACACAUGCAGGUCGAACGGAAAGGCCCUGCUUUUGUGGGGUGCUCGAGUGGCGAACGGGUGAGUAACACGUGAGUAACCUGCCCUUGACUUUGGGAUAACUUCAGGAAACUGGGGCUAAUACCGGAUAGGAGCUCCUGCUGCAUGGUGGGGGUUGGAAAGUUUCGGCGGUUGGGGAUGGACUCGCGGCUUAUCAGCUUGUUGGUGGGGUAGUGGCUUACCAAGGCUUUGACGGGUAGCCGGCCUGAGAGGGUGACCGGCCACAUUGGGACUGAGAUACGGCCCAGACGCCUACGGGAGGCAGCAGUGGGGAAUAUUGCACAAUGGGCGGAAGCCUGAUGCAGCAACGCCGCGUACGGGAUGACGGCCUUCGGGUUGUAAACCGCUUUCGCCUGUGACGAAGCGUGAGUGACGGUAAUGGGUAAAGAAGCACCGGCUAACUACGUG
rnacentral:rRNA from 1 species